rnacentral:rRNA from 1 species
AUACGGAGGAUGCAAGCGUUAUCCGGAUUUAUUGGGUUUAAAGGGUGCGUAGGCGGGACUGUAAGUCAGGGGUGAAAUACUGCAGCUUAACUGUAGCAUUGCCUUUGAAACUGCCGUUCUUGAGUACAGUUGAGGUAGGCGGAAUGUGGUGUGUAGCGGUGAAAUGCAUAGAUAUACCACAGAACGCCGAUUGCGAAGGCAGCUUACUAAGCUGUUACUGACGCUGAGGCACGAAAGUGUGGGGAUCAAACAGGAUUAGAUGCCCUGGUAGUCCACACUGUAAACGAUGAAUGCUAGAUGUUGGCGAUAUACAGUCAGUGUCACAGAGAAAUCGUUAAGCAUUCCACCUGGGGAGUACGCCGGCAACGGUGAAACUCAAAUGAAUUGACGGGG